GAUGAACGCUGGCGGCGUGCCUAAUACAUGCAAGUCGAGCGCAGCGGGGACGGGUGAGUAACACGUAGAUAACCUCCUAUAAGACUGGGAUAACUUCGGGAAACCGUAGCUAAACCGGAUACUUAUGGUUGGCUCCGGGCUGCAUUAGCUAGUUGGUAAGGUAACGGCUUACCAAGGCAACGAUGCAUAGCCGACCUGAGAGGGUGAUCGGCAACACUGGAACUGAGACACGGUCCAGACUCCUACGGGAGGCAGCAGUAGGGAAUCUUCCGCAAUGGGCGAAAGCCUGACGGAGCAACGCCGCGUGAGUGAGGAAGGUCUUCGGAUCGUAAAACUCUGUUAUUAGGGAAGCGGUAACUAACCAGAAAGCCACGGCUAACUACGUGCCAGCAGCCGCGGUAAUAC
rnacentral:rRNA from 1 species